rnacentral:tRNA from 4 species
GGCCAGGUAGCUCAGUCGGUAGAGCAGGGGAUUGAAAAUCCCCGUGUCGGGAGUUCGAUUCUCUCCCUGGCCACCA